CAGCUAGCUUAUUCACCAAUAUAAUUAAACAAUAUAAAUAAAAUAGAAUAGACCAAACACUAAAAACUAAACCAUUCUUUUACCUGAGUAUGGGAGACAGAAAAGGUUCAACCAAAGCAAUAGAAAUAGUACCGCAAGGGAAAGCUGAAAGAGAAAUGAAAUAACCCAUAUAAGUACUAAAAAGCAAAGACUAAACCUUGUACCUUUUGCAUCAUGAUUUAGCCAGUAAACACAAGCAAAGAGACCUUUAGUUUGAAACCCCGAAACCAGGUGAGCUACCCCGAGACAGCCUAUUAAGGGCCAACCCGUCUCUGUGGCAAAAGAGUGGGAAGAGCUCCGGGUAGAAGUGACAGACCUACCGAACCUGGUGAUAGCUGGUUGCCUAAGAAAUGGAUAGAAGUUCAGCCUCGUACACCUCAAAUCAAAUAAGCACUAACCAAGACACUAAGAGAAAGACACGAGAGUUAGUUAAAGGGGGUACAGCCCCUUUAACAAAGGAUACAACCUUAUACAGGAGGAUAAAGAUCAUAAUAUAUAAAACAUACUGUUUUAGUGGGCCUAAAAGCAGCCACCUAAACAGAAAGCGUUAAAGCUCAGACAGAAAAAAGUUUAUUAUUCUGAUAAAAAAUCUUACUCCCCUAAAUACUAUUAGGCUAAUCCAUGCCCCCAUGGAAGAAAUUAUGCUAAAAUGAGUAACAAGAAGGCCCGCCCUUCUCCAAGCACAAGUGUAAGCCAAAACGGACCAACCAUUGGCAACUAACGAACUCAACCCAAGAGAGCAAUGUGAACCAUAAAAAAAACAAGAAAAACCCACAACUCAAUAAUCGUUAACCCCACACUGGAGUGCUAUUAAAGGAAAGACUAAAAGAAAAGGAAGGAACUCGGCAAACACAAGCCUCGCCUGUUUACCAAAAACAUCGCCUCCUGCAACACAGCCAUGUAUAGGAGGUCCAGCCUGCCCAGUGACUACAAGUUCAACGGCCGCGGUAUUUUGACCGUGCAAAGGUAGCGCAAUCACUUGUCUUUUAAAUAGAGACCUGUAUGAAUGGCUAAACGAGGGCUUAACUGUCUCCCCUUUCAAGUCAGUGAAAUUGAUCUGCCCGUGCAGAAGCG
rnacentral:rRNA from 1 species